rnacentral:rRNA from 1 species
GAAAGUUAUGCCGGUGGAUCACUUGGCUCACGGAUCGAUGAAAACCGCAGUGAAUUGCGAUAAGAAGUACGAAUUACAGAUAUUAUGAGUACCAUGUUGUUGAAUGCAUAUUGCGCCAUUGGGUUUUUGCUCUUUGGCAUAUAUUAUUCAGGGUAUGU